UACAGGGGGGGCAAGCGUUGUUCGGAAUUACUGGGCGUAAAGGGCUCGUAGGUGGCCAACUAAGUCAGACGUGAAAUCCCUCAGCUUAACUGGGGGAACUGCGUCUGAUACUGGAUGGCUUGAGUUUGGGAGAGGGAUGCGGAAUUCCAGGUGUAGCGGUGAAAUGCGUAGAUAUCUGGAGGAACACCGGUGGCGAAGGCGGGACUCUGGGCCGAUACUGACGCUGAGGAGCGAAAGCGUGGGGAGCAAACAGG
rnacentral:rRNA from 1 species